GACGAACGCUGGCGGCGUGCUUAACACAUGCAAGUCGAACGGAAAGGCCCCUUUGGGGGUACUCGAGUGGCGCACGGGUGAGUAACACGUGCGUAACCUGCCCUUGACUUCGGGAUAACUUCAGGAAACUGGGGCUAAUACCGGAUAGGAAUCCUUGCUGCAUGGUGGGGGUUGGAAAGCUUCGGCGGUUUUGGAUGGACUCGCGGCUUAUCAGCUUGUUGGUGGGGUAGUGGCUUACCAAGGCUGUGACGGGUAGCCGGCCUGCGAGGGCGACCGGCCACAUUGGGACUGAGAUACGGCCCAGACUCCUACGGGAGGCAGCAGGGGGGAAGAUUGCACAAUGGGCGGAAGCCGGAUGCAGCAACGCCGCGGGCGGGAUGACGGCCUUCGGGUUGUAAACCGCUUUCAGCAGGGGCGGAGCUUGUGGUGACGGUACCUGCAGAAGAAGCACCGGCUAACUACGUG
rnacentral:rRNA from 1 species